UUGACCUCGGAUCAGGUAGGAAUACCCGCUGAACUUAAGCAUAUCAAGGAGCGGAGGAA
rnacentral:rRNA from 1 species